GGAAGGGGUAUAUAUUCCCCAAAGAUAAACUUAAAAUAACACUUUUUACUCUAAACUUUUUAAAUUUGGAUUCAUCAGAGCUUGGUGCUGAUAACGCCAAUGUCGCGGGUUCGUUCCCCGUACAGGCCACCAAAUGCUGCAGUCUGGCUGGGCACAAUUCAGGAGCCACUUGUCAAAAGAAACAAACUUUAUUUUUAGAACACACACACCACACCACACAGCUCCCCAGGAAAACCCUCAGAGCCCAACUGCCACCACCGGCUUCCCACAAGCCUCUCAACCUCUCCCACUACUCCUGCUCUUGAGGCCGAUUGGCUGGGUCACGUGGGCGGGGCCAAAAAAGUCCCCCAAUGAGCAGCUCCGUGGUCUGAAAGGGCAGGGAAACAGCCCAAUGAGCAUCACCACAGAGGAGCCAAUCAGUUGGCAGCUAGAAGUUUGCUGGGGCCCCUGUGAGCCAAUCAUCAGGUGGCAGCUGGAAGUUUGCUGGCAGCUGGAAGUUUGCUGGGGCCCCUUUAGGCUGUGGCUCUCAACACAUUCUGACAAGGAAGCUGUCUAUAUUUUGCCCAUGUCCUGAGACUGUGAGGCUGAGUUUAAAGAUGACGGACUAACUAAUCUGGCAGAAGAAAUUUCAAGGCAGCACAGCCUUCAGGUGGUGGCAUGGUCAUUGUUGGACUAUAGGAACUGUUGACUAAAUUCAUUUUGAGUUGUAAGAUGGGCAUGAUUUUGGGAGGCCAAUAGUGGAAUAUUAGGGUUUAGAUGUGUGGUGUCACCAAAAAGCUCAUGUUCAGAAAAUGCAAGAAUGUUCAGAGGGGGGUUGAUUAGGUUAUGAGAGUUGUAACCUGAACAGCCGAUUAACACUGAUACGAAUUACUAGGCGUUAACUGUAGGCAGGUAGAGCAUAGCUGGAGGAGGUAGGUCACUGGGGAUGUGACUUGAGGAUCACAUUUUGUCCCUGAUGCACGGGGCUCUCUCUGGUUUCUGGUUGCCAUGUUCUUCCACCAUGAUGUGCUGCCUCACCUCAGGCACAGAGUCAUGGAGUCAGCCCUGUAUGGACUGAGACCUCUGAAACCAUAAACCAAAUAAACUUUUCCUCCUCUAAAAUUGUUCUUGUCAGGUCUUUUGGUGACAGCGGUGAAAAAGCAAACUAAAACAAGAUUCAUUUUAAAAAGUCAAAAGAAAUGAAUGAAAUUUAUUUUAAUAUCAUA
rnacentral:lncRNA from 1 species